AUCUCCUCUUCUUGGGAAGUUUUCCCAGAUUAGUAAUGUUCCUGCUCCAUCUCAUGGCACACUGAACUUCCUCCUUCCACAGCUUUCAUCUUGCUGAAUUAUAAGUUCUGCUUUCUCCCUCUUCCACAAAGACUGGGUGCUUCUUGGUGGCUUGUGUUAGGUCUUGGGACUUAACACAGUGCCUGGAAUUGAGUAGCGGCUCGACUGUCAUCUGGAAGAGGCUAAGUGGAACCCUGGAGCUGUCAUUAUCUCUGCUGACCCGGACUAAAUCCAGGCUCACUUGAGCUGGUAACAUCUUUGACAUUCUCAAGCCCUGGAAAUGACAACUUCCUUCCUUCAGCAAUGGGCAGAGGCAAGAAUCAGAACCAGUGCGUCUUGGCUAGAAAAGUUUGGAUAAAUGCCAUAGGAGACCACUUUCUUCUUUCCAGUUCAAGAGCAGGGGUAUGACUCAUUUCCAGGCUCCCUGAUAGGAGGCAGAAUAGUCUGGAAGCUGAGCAAAACCUGCGUGGUGUCUCCUGGCCAGGGCUAGCACUCAGCUCUGCCCCUAGAAACCCCAGCACCAGUUCAGGGGCAUCGGUAGCAUUGAGAAACCCAAAUCCUGCCUGUCUCAUUCUCUUUGAGUCAUUGGCUCUGUUACCUCAGGGGCCUGAUGUUUAGCCAUGUGGACACACACCUGUUUUUGCAAGGCAGUGUGGUGAGGUGGAAAGAGAACCAACAUGGGGUCAGGUCAACAUGGCUUCCAGGUCCGCUUGAUAUGCUGCACUCCCUUCUCUCUGGGCCUGUUUCUUC
rnacentral:lncRNA from 10 species